UACAGAGGGGGCAAGCGUUGUUCGGAAUUACUGGGCGUAAAGGGCGCGUAGGCGGCCCACUAAGUCGAACGUGAAAUCCCCGAGCUCAACUCGGGAACUGCGUCCGAUACUGGUGGGCUUGAAUCCGGGAGAGGGAUGCGGAAUUCCAGGUGUAGCGGUGAAAUGCGUAGAUAUCUGGAGGAACACCGGUGGCGAAGGCGGCAUCCUGGACCGGCAUUGACGCUGAGGCGCGAAAGCCAGGGGAGCAAAGCGGG
rnacentral:rRNA from 1 species